CCUACGGGCGGCAGCAGUGAGGAAUAUUGGUCAAUGGGCGAGAGCCUGAACCAGCCAAGUCGCGUGAAGGAUGACGGCCCUACGGGUUGUAAACUUCUUUUGUCCGGGAGCAAUUGGGUCCACGCGUGGGCUUAGCGAGAGUACCUUAAGAAAAAGCAUCGGCUAACUCCGUCCCAGCAGCCGCGGUAAUACGGAGGAUGCGAGCGUUAUCCGGAUUUAUGGGGUUUAAAGGGUGCGUGGGCGGAAGACCAAGUCAGCGGGAAAAAUUCGGGGCUAAACCCCGUCGUGCCGUUGAAACUGAUGUUCUUGAGUGGGCGAGAAGUAUGCGGAAUGCGUGGUGUAGCGGUGAAAUGCAUAGAUAUCACGCAGAACCCCGAUUGCGAAGGCAGCCUUCCGGCGCCCUACUGACGCUGAGGAACGAAAGUGCGGGGAUCGAACAGGAUUAGAUACCCCUGUAGUC
rnacentral:rRNA from 1 species